rnacentral:rRNA from 1 species
UACGAAGGGUGCAAACGUUGCUCGGAAUCAUUGGGCGUAAAGCGCACGUAGGCGGCUUCGCAAGUCGGAUGUGAAAUCCCUCGGCUCAACCAAGGACGUGCAUCCGAAACUGCGAAGCUUGAGUACAGAAGAGGAUCGCGGAAUUCCCGGUGUAGAGGUGAAAUUCGUAGAUAUCAGGAGGAACACCGAUGGCGAAGGCAGGUCUCUGGGCCGAUACUGACGCUGAGGAGCGAAAGCGUGGGGAGCGAACAGG